AGGGAAUCUUCCGCAAUGGACGAAAGUCUGACGGAGCAACGCCGCGUGAGUGAUGAAGGCUUUCGGGUCGUAAAACUCUGUUGUUAGGGAAGAACAAGUACGAGAGUAACUGCUCGUACCUUGACGGUACCUAACCAGAAAGCCACGGCUAACUACGUGCCAGCAGCCGCGGUAAUACGUAGGUGGCAAGCGUUAUCCGGAAUUAUUGGGCGUAAAGCGCGCGCAGGCGGUUUCUUAAGUCUGAUGUGAAAGCCCACGGCUCAACCGUGGAGGGUCAUUGGAAACUGGGGAACUUGAGUGCAGAAGAGAAAAGCGGAAUUCCACGUGUAGCGGUGAAAUGCGUAGAGAUGGGGAGGAACACCAGUGGCGAAGGCGGCUUUUUGGUCUGUAACUGACGCUGAGGCGCGAAAGCGUGGGGAGCAAACA
rnacentral:rRNA from 1 species